rnacentral:rRNA from 1 species
UACGGGGGGGGCAAGCGUUGUUCGGAAUUACUGGGCGUAAAGGGCUCGUAGGCGGCCAACUAAGUCAGACGUGAAAUCCCCCGGCUUAACCUGGGAACUGCGUCUGAUACUGGGAGGCUUGAGUAUGGGAGAGGGAUGUAGAAUUCCAGGUGUAGCGGUGAAAUGCGUAGAUAUCUGGAGGAAUACCGGUGGCGAAGGCGGCAUCCUGGACCAUAACUGACGCUGAGGCACGAAAGCGUGGGGAGCAAACAGG